AGAGUUUGAUCCUGGCUCAGGACGAACGCUGGCGGCGUGCUUAACACAUGCAAGUCGAACGAGAGGACAAGAGGAGCUUGCUUCUUUUGGAAUCGAGUGGCAAACGGGUGAGUAACACGUAAACAACCUGCCUUCAGGAUGGGGACAACAGACGGAAACGACUGCUAAUACCGAAUACGCUUGGGAGACCGCAUGAUCUUCCAAGGAAAGGGUGGCCUCUACCUGUAAGCUAUCGCCUGAAGAGGGGUUUGCGUCUGAUUAGGCAGUUGGUGAGGUAACGGCCCACCAAACCUACGAUCAGUAGCCGGUCUGAGAGGAUGAACGGCCACACUGGAACUGAGACACGGUCCAGACUCCUACGGGAGGCAGCAGUGGGGAAUCUUCCGCAAUGGGCGAAAGCCUGACGGAGCAACGCCGCGUGAGUGAUGACGGCCUUCGGGUUGUAAAGCUCUGUGAUCGGGGACGAACGGUCCGUAAGCCAAUACCUUAUGGAAGUGACGGUACCCGAAUAGCAAGCCACGGCUAACUACGCGCCAGCAGCCGCGGUAAUACGUAGGUGACAAGCGUUGUCCGGAUUUACUGGGUGUAAAGGGCGCGUAGGCGGACUGUCAAGUCAGUCGUGAAAUACCGGGGCUUAACCCCGGGGCUGCGAUUGAAACUGACAGCCUUGAGUAUCGGAGAGGAAAGCGGAAUUCCUAGUGUAGCGGUGAAAUGCGUAGAUAUUAGGAGGAACACCAGUGGCGAAGGCGGCUUUCUGGACGACAACUGACGCUGAGGCGCGAAAGUGUGGGGAGCAAACAGGAUUAGAUACCCUGGUAGUCCACACCGUAAACGAUGGAUACUAGGUGUAGGAGGUAUCGACCCCUUCUGUGCCGCAGUUGACACAAUAAGUAUCCCACCUGGGGAGUACGACCGCAAGGUUGAAACUCAAAGGAAUUGACGGGGGCCCGCACAAGCAGUAGAGUAUGUGGUUUAAUUCGAAGCAACGCGAAGAACCUUACCUGGGCUUGACAUCCCUGGAAUCGAGUAGAGAUACUUGAGUGCCUUCGGGAAUCAGGUGACAGGUGGUGCAUGGUUGUCGUCAGCUCGUGUCGUGAGAUGUUGGGUUAAGUCCCGCAACGAGCGCAACCCCUAUUGUCAGUUGCCAUCAUUAAGUUGGGCACUCUGGCGAGACUGCCGGUGACAAAUCGGAGGAAGGUGGGGACGACGUCAAAUCAUCAUGCCCCUUACGCCCAGGGCUACACACGUACUACAAUGGCCGAUAACAAAGUGCAGCGAAACCGUGAGGUGGAGCGAAUCACAAAACUCGGUCUCAGUUCAGAUUGCAGGCUGCAACUCGCCUGCAUGAAGUUGGAAUUGCUAGUAAUCGCGGAUCAGAAUGCCGCGGUGAAUACGUUCCCGGGCCUUGUACACACCGCCCGUCACACCAUGAGAGUCGAUAACACCCGAAGCCUGUGAGCUAACCGUAAGGAGGCAGCAGUCGAAGGUGGGGUUGAUGAUUGGGGUGAAGUCGUAACAAGGUA
rnacentral:rRNA from 1 species